rnacentral:rRNA from 1 species
AUUGAACGCUGGCGGCAUGCCUUACACAUGCAAGUCGAACGGUAACGGGCCUUCGGGUGCCGACGAGUGGCGAACGGGUGAGUAAUGCAUCGGAACGUACCUUUCAGUGGGGGAUAACGUAGCGAAAGUUACGCUAAUACCGCAUAUUCUGUGAGCAGGAAAGCAGGGGAUCGCAAGACCUUGUGCUGAUUGAGCGGCCGAUGUCAGAUUAGCUAGUUGGUGAGGUAAAGGCUCACCAAGGCGACGAUCUGUAGCGGGUCUGAGAGGAUGAUCCGCCACACUGGAACUGAGACACGGUCCAGACUCCUACGGGAGGCAGCAGUGGGGAAUUUUGGACAAUGGGGGCGAACCCUGAUCCAGCCAUGCCGCGUGAGUGAAGAAGG